GGCAUCGUGGCCGAGUGGUCUAAGGCGGUAGACUCAAGUUCUACUAUCGAAAGAUGCAGGAGUUCGAAUCUCCUCGAUGUCA
rnacentral:tRNA from 1 species